AAGAAAAUUACCAAGAAUAAAAUAAUGAUAAAUUCUAUAAUUGUGGUGGUUUAUUUACCUGUUUCAAUAAAUUAGCAAUUCUUCAGAUCAAUAGAUUUUGUUGAUGCAUGUUUUGAAAAAUUAAAAAUAUGAAUAUGAAAUUCUAAAAUUAAAAAUAGAUUUUGUUAAAGGAUGUGGAUGAAGUGCACAAGAGAAAUAAAAGAUCAUUGUGACAAGUUGACAACUACUGCGCGAUGUUUGAUAUGCCUGCUUUCUUGACAAAUGCAGUGCAAAUGUGGGUGCAACUUAGGCCCGUCAAUAAAUCAAAGAUGGAUAACUUUAACUUUGAAUUUGACAUCAAUGGAAAAUUGGAAUUGUAACAGAUUGGGGUUGAAUGAAACUUGCUAAGUGAUCAUUUUGGUAUUAUUGUUCUACUCAAGUCAUAUGGUGAGAUUAAUUGUUUAUAUUAUCUUAAAAUCUAGAUAUGGUUUAUUAGAGGUGUGCUACAAGGCUAAUGCAACUGAGGUAAUUAUACAUCUUGCAUGUUAAUCAAAAAGCAACAUUUUCAUACAAUUUCCCCCAAAAUUAUGGGGUUCUGUGUGUUUAAGGAAGAACUUUGUUGUGGG
rnacentral:misc_RNA from 1 species